UACGGGGGGAGCAAGCGUUGUUCGGAUUUACUGGGCGUAAAGCGCACGUAGGCGGCUCUUUAAGUCGGGGGUGAAAUCCUGGAGCUCAACUCCAGAACUGCCUUCGAUACUGUAGAGCUUGAGUUCGGGAGAGGUGAGUGGAACUGCGAGUGUAGAGGUGAAAUUCGUAGAUAUUCGCAAGAACACCAGUGGCGAAGGCGGCUCACUGGCCCGAUACUGACGCUGAGGUGCGAAAGCGUGGGGAGCAAACAGG
rnacentral:rRNA from 1 species